GGAGAAUUUGCUUGCUCCACGCCUACGAGAUUUUCCUCGAGUGGGAGGAAUUCAAAAUAGCCAAUAUUUGGUAACACUGCAUAAGUAACCAUCUCAGGAGGGAAUUUUGGAUUAACAUUUACUCCGACCCAUCCUUCAGAAGAACCAUAAUCUGCACUCAAUAGAGGUAAUUCUCCUGCAUAGUGCCUUAGUUUCUUCAAGUAAGGCUCCAUCGAAC
rnacentral:misc_RNA from 1 species